CCCUUAGAUGUUCUGGGCGGCCCGCGCACUACAAUGGCGUGUGCAGCGAGUGCCGAAGUAGAGUUUUCCGAGGUAUUCUUGCAAUGCUCGUUUUGAUGGGGAUAGACCCUUGCAACUGUUGGUUUUGAACGAGGAAUUCCUUGUAAGCAUGGUUUAUCAUCCGACGCUGAAUGCGUCCCUGCCCUUUGUACACACCGCCCGUCGCUCCUACCGAUGAGUCGUCCGGUGAAGUUCGUAGACCUCGUGAUCGCGGAUCACUGGGGGAAGCAAAAUGAACCUCGCGGUUAGAGGAAGGAGAAGUCGUAACA
rnacentral:rRNA from 1 species